AGAAAAACUGGAAAACCAGUAAACUGCCCAAGCUUACAUAUUAAUAAUAUAAAAUUGGGGGGGGGGAGGUUGCAUUCAGUGAGCUGGUCGGGUAUUCGUUAUAGGUGUUGUUUACGCAUGCCAAGGAGUGUGCGGGAUUGAAUCUGGCCUGGGUCUGUUUGGCUGAUCAUAGUCAAGAUAUGCUCUGGCAACUCGCCCAAAGUCUUUGUUCUAUCUUUUCGUUCAUGUUUAUCUACAAUAGUGUAGACUUGUGUCUGGUGAAAACAAUGAACUUUUUGCAUAAUGAAGCAAUCAUCCAAUAACCUCGUAAUCAUCCAAUAAAGUCUCCCCAAAUCAUUCAACUGCACUGUUGUAAUAAUAAUUAAUAAGCAAACAUUUCUGACGAUUAGUGCAGAGUGAAAGCCAUUUCAACAUAGAAUUACAACUCAUUAUAAAGACUUUGAAGUUGCUGAGUUUCCAGAGCAUGUUUUGAUUGACCAUGGUCUGAUUUAGAAUAUUUUAUAAAAACUCAACUUUAAGUAUAUACUCACUAUAUUGCUGGAAGUUUAAAUAGCUGGAAAGUAGAAAGAACAGAACAUUAUAAAAAGACAUAUCAUUUAAUUUAAUAGAUUCAGAGAUGAAAGUUUACCAGCCAGCUUCAACUCAUUCUUUGUUUUAUAACAUUUUAAAGGAUUAGUGUCACCAUUGCAAUUCAGUGGAGCUGUCCGCUUCCGUCCAUUAAAAGCUGACCCUCUAAAUUCAAAAGUGC